rnacentral:rRNA from 1 species
AGCGAACGCUGGCGGCAGGCCUAACACAUGCAAGUCGAACGAACCCUUCGGGGUUAGUGGCGGACGGGUGGGUAACACGUGGGAACGUGCCUUUAGGUUCGGAAUAACUCAGGGAAACUUGUGCUAAUACCGAAUGUGCCCUUCGGGGGAAAGAUUUAUCGCCUUUAGAGCGGCCCGCGUCUGAUUAGCUAGCUGGUGAGGUAAUGGCUCACCAAGGCUACGAUCAGUAGCUGGUCUGAGAGGAUGACCAGCCACAUUGGGACUGAGACACGGCCCAAACUCCUACGGGAGGCAGCAGUGGGGAAUCUUGCGCAAUGGGCGAAAGCCUGACGCAGCCAUGCCGCGUGGAUGAUGAAGGUCUUAGGAUUGUAAAAUCCUUUCACCGGUGAAGAUAAUGACUGUAGCCGGAGAAGAAGCCCCGGCUAACUUCGUGCCAGCCGCCGCAGUAAAAC